rnacentral:rRNA from 1 species
CCAAUAGCGUAUAUUAAAGUUGCUGCAGUUAAAAAGCUCGUAGUUGAAUUUCGGGACCAACAUGUCGGUCGUGCCUCGGUACGCACUGGCUUAUUGGUUUCUCCCUUCUGGAGAACCAUGAUGUCAUUUAUUUGGUGUCGUGGGGAAUCAGGACUGUUACUUUGAAAAAAUUAGAGUGUUUAAAGCAGGCUCACGCUUGAAUACAUUAGCAUGGAAUAAUGAAAUAGGACGUUUGAUUCUAUUUUGUUGGUUUCUAGGAUCGACGUAAUGAUUAAUAGGGAUAGUUGGGGGCAUUAGUAGUCAAUUGUCAGAGGUGAAAGUCUUGGAUUUAUUGAAGACUAACUACUGCGAAAGCAUUUGCCAAGGAUGUUUUCAUUAAUCAAGAACGAAAGUUAGGGGAUCGAAGACGAUCAGAUACCGUCGUAGUCUUAACCAUAAACUAUGCCGACUAGGGAUCGGAUGAUGUUAAUUUUUUAAUGACUCAUUCGGCGCCUUACGG